AUUGAACGCUGGCGGCAGGCCUAACACAUGCAAGUCGAGCGGCAGCGGGAAAGUAGCUUGCUACUUUUGCCGGCGAGCGGCGGACGGGUGAGUAAUGCCUGGGGAUCUGCCCAGUCGAGGGGGAUAACUACUGGAAACGGUAGCUAAUACCGCAUACGCCCUACGGGGGAAAGCAGGGGACCUUCGGGCCUUGCGCGAUUGGAUGAACCCAGGUGGGAUUAGCUAGUUGGUGAGGUAAUGGCUCACCAAGGCGACGAUCCCUAGCUGGUCUGAGAGGAUGAUCAGCCACACGGGAACUGAGACACGGUCCAGACUCCUCCGGGAGGCAGCAGUGGGGAAUAUUGCACAAUGGGGGAAACCCUGAUGCAGCCAUGCCGCGUGUGUGAAGAAGGCCUUCGGGUUGUAAAGCACUUUCAGCGAGGAGGAAAAGUUGGUAGCUAAUAACUGCCAGCUAUGACGUUACUCGCAGAAGAAGCACCGGCUAACUCCGUGCCAGCCGCCGCCGUAA
rnacentral:rRNA from 1 species